rnacentral:tRNA from 1 species
AGUCCCGUACGAAUCGAACUGCAAAUUCGGGCAAGCACCUGUGAAGUGCCGGGACU